UACGUAGGGGGCGAGCGUUGUCCGGAAUCAUUGGGCGUAAAGCGCGUGUAGGCGGCUCGUUAAGUCCGGUGUGAAACCUUGGGGCUCAACCCCAAGCCUGCACUGGAUACUGACGAGCUCGAGUCCGGGAGGGGAGAGCGGAAUUCCUAGUGUAGCGGUGAAAUGCGCAGAUAUUAGGAAGAGCACCGGUGGCGAAGGCGGCUCUCUGGAACGGUACUGACGCUGAGACGCGAAAGCGUGGGGAGCGAACAGG
rnacentral:rRNA from 1 species